UAGCCCCAUGGCCGGUGGUGCGCCAGCGCCCAGGCGGCGCCCAGCUCGGGGCGCGCAUUGAGCAGGAAGUUGGACUCCCCCCGGGACUGG
rnacentral:tRNA from 1 species